CCUACGGGAGGCAGCAGUGAGGAAUAUUGGUCAAUGGGCGCGAGCCUGAACCAGCCAAGUAGCGUGAAGGAUGACUGCCCUACGGGUUGUAAACUUCUUUUAUAAAGGAAUAAAGUGAGGCACGCGUGCCUUUUUGUAUGUACUUUAUGAAUUAGGAUCGGCGAACUCCGUGCCAGCAGCCGCGGUAAUACGGAGGGUUCGAGCGUUAAUCGGAUUUAUUGGGGUUAAAGGGAGCGUAGAUGGGUUGUUAAGUCAGUUGUUAAAGUUUGCGGCUCAACCGUAAAAUUGCAAUUGAUACUGGCAGUCUUGAGUACAGUUGAGGUAGGCGGAAUUCGUGGUGUAGCGGUGAAAUGCUUAGAUAUCACGAAGAACUCCGAUUGCGAAGGCAGCUUACUAAACUGCCACUGACAUUGAUGCUCGAAAGUGUGGGUAUCAAACAGGAUUAGAUACCCUUGUAGUC
rnacentral:rRNA from 1 species